GAUGAACGCUGGCGGCGUGCCUAAUACAUGCAAGUCGAGCGAACAGACGAGGAGCUUGCUCCUCUGACGUUAGCGGCGGACGGGUGAGUAACACGUGGAUAACCUACCUAUAGACUGGGAUAACUUCGGGAAACCGGAGCUAAUACCGGAUAACAUGUUGAACCGCAUGGUUCAACAGUGAAAGACGGUCUUGCUGUCACUUAUAGAUGGAUCCGCGCCGCAUUAGCUAGUUGGUAAGGUAACGGCUUACCAAGGCAACGAUGCGUAGCCGACCUGAGAGGGUGAUCGGCCACACUGGAACUGAGCCACGGUCCAGACUCCUACGGGAGGCAGCAGUAGGGAAUCUUCCGCAAUGGGCGAAAGCCUGACGGAGCAACGCCGCGUGAGUGAAGAAGGUCUUCGGAUCGUAAAACUCUGUUAUUAGGGAAGAACAAAUGUGUAAGUAACUAUGCACGUCUUGACGGUACCUAAUCAGAAAGCCACGGCUAACUACGUG
rnacentral:rRNA from 1 species